rnacentral:lncRNA from 1 species
AGCUCAUUUGCCAGUGGAGAGUUCCAGCGUGCUGGAAUGUCGGCUUUGCCCAGAUGGGACUGCUCAUCGCAAACCCAGCUGUCAGUUUCACCUUAGGAAUGUCUGGCUUUAAUCCAAACUAGUACUGACCAGUCCAGCCUUUCUCGACAACACCAUCAUUUCUCUCAGGGGCUGUUUUCCCCCACCAUCUGGCAGGGAAUUAUUUUAUUAGCUGAAAUACAACGAGGGUUGGGCUCAGGCAGGAGAGGAGAGUGUCCGUGAUGUUCUCAGGAAACAAGAAGCUGAACGCUUAGCCUGAGACAAAUCCUAUUAGCAACAACAUGGAUCUGUGGAAAGAUUCUGUCAGCGACUCUGAGGACAGACAGGAAUGUGACAGGAGAGACGUGCCGAAGCUGUCAGAGCUGCGGUCUCAGCAUGGGAGAUUCUACCUCCUGGGAGGCAUUUUGGAAAGGUAUGGGAUGGUGAUGGUGUUGUCCCAACAGUGGUGGCAGGGCACGAUGGAUAUUCAGAGGGUGAGGUCCAUGCGGCGAAGAGGACAACUUCAGCCCAUGCAGAAUUGCCCCACUUCCUGCUUGACUUUCUAAUGUGCCUCUGGACACUAAAUAGAUGAAAAACUUAUUUGUAAACUCUAUUUUCCCCAUGAACAAAAGUUGUUUUU